GCCCGCGUAGUUCAGUGGUAGAACAGCAGUUUUGUAAACUGCGUGUCCGGAGUUCGAUUCUCCGCGUGGGCU
rnacentral:tRNA from 1 species